rnacentral:rRNA from 1 species
CGGCGGACGGGUGAGUAACACGUGGAUAACCUACCUAUAAGACUGGAUAACUUCGGGAAACCGGAGCUAAUACCGGAUAAUAUAUUGAACCGCAUGGUUCAAUAGUGAAAGACGGUUUUGCUGUCACUUAUAGAUGGAUCCGCGCCGCAUUAGCUAGUUGGUAAGGUAACGGCUUACCAAGGCAACGAUGCGUAGCCGACCUGAGAGGGUGAUCGGCCACACUGGAACUGAGACACGGUCCAGACUCCUACGGGAGGCAGCAGUC